UACGGAGGGGGCUAGCGUUAUCCGGAAUUACCGGGCGUAAAGCGUGCGUAGGUGGUUCGUUAAGUCUGAUGUGAAAGCCCCGGGCUCAACCUGGGAAUUGCGAUGGAGACUGCAAGGCUUGAAUCUGGCAGAGGGGGGUAGAAUUCCACGUGUAGCAGUGAAAUGCGUAGAGAUGUGGAGGAACACCGAUGGCGAAGGCAGCCCCCUGGGUCAAGAUUGACGCUCAUGCACGAAAGCGUGGGGAGCAAACAGG
rnacentral:rRNA from 1 species